rnacentral:rRNA from 1 species
UACAGAGGUCUCAAGCGUUGUUCGGAUUCAUUGGGCGUAAAGGGUGCGUAGGCGGCGCGGUAAGUCGGGUGUGAAAUCUCGGAGCUUAACUCCGAAACUGCAUUCGAUACUGCCGUGCUUGAGGACUGGAGAGGAGACUGGAAUUUACGGUGUAGCGGUGAAAUGCGUAGAUAUCGUAAGGAAGACCAGUGGCGAAGGCGGCGACCUGGGUUGACAUUGACGCUGAGGCGCGAAAGCUAGGGGAGCAAACAGG